CCUGGCUCACGUUGAACGCUAGCUACAGGCUUAACACAUGCAAGUCGAGGGGCAGCAUGGUCUUAGCUUGCUAAGACUGAUGGCGACCGGCGCACGGGUGAGUAACACGUAUCCAACCUGCCGUCUACUCUUGGACAGCCUUCUGAAAGGAAGAUUAAUACAAGAUGGCAUCAUGAGUCCGCAUGUUCACAUGAUUAAAGGUAUUCCGGUAGACGAUGGGGAUGCGUUCCAUUAGAUAGUAGGCGGGGUAACGGCCCACCUAGUCUUCGAUGGAUAGGGGUUCUGAGAGGAAGGUCCCCCACAUUGGAACUGAGACACGGUCCAAACUCCUACGGGAGGCAGCAGUGAGGAAUAUUGGUCAAUGGGCGAGAGCCUGAACCAGCCAAGUAGCGUGAAGGAUGACUGCCCUAUGGGUUGUAAACUUCUUUUAUAAAGGAAUAAAGUCGGGUAUGGAUACCCGUUUGCAUGUACUUUAUGAAUAAGGAUCGGCUAACUCCGUGCCAGCAGCCGCGGUAAUACGGAGGAUCCGAGCGUUAUCCGGAUUUAUUGGGUUUAAAGGGAGCGUAGAUGGAUGUUUAAGUCAGUUGUGAAAGUUUGCGGCUCAACCGUAAAAUUGCAGUUGAUACUGGAUAUCUUGAGUGCAGUUGAGGCAGGCGGAAUUCGUGGUGUAGCGGUGAAAUGCUUAGAUAUCACGAAGAACUCCGAUUGCGAAGGCAGCCUGCUAAGCUGCAACUGACAUUGAGGCUCGAAAGUGUGGGUAUCAAACAGGAUUAGAUACCCUGGUAGUCCACACGGUAAACGAUGAAUACUCGCUGUUUGCGAUAUACAGCAAGCGGCCAAGCGAAAGCGUUAAGUAUUCCACCUGGGGAGUACGCCGGCAACGGUGAAACUCAAAGGAAUUGACGGGGGCCCGCACAAGCGGAGGAACAUGUGGUUUAAUUCGAUGAUACGCGAGGAACCUUACCCGGGCUUAAAUUGCAGAUGAAUUACGGUGAAAGCCGUAAGCCGCAAGGCAUCUGUGAAGGUGCUGCAUGGUUGUCGUCAGCUCGUGCCGUGAGGUGUCGGCUUAAGUGCCAUAACGAGCGCAACCCUUGUUGUCAGUUACUAACAGGUUCCGCUGAGGACUCUGACAAGACUGCCAUCGUAAGAUGUGAGGAAGGUGGGGAUGACGUCAAAUCAGCACGGCCCUUACGUCCGGGGCUACACACGUGUUACAAUGGGGGGUACAGAGGGCCGCUACCACGCGAGUGGAUGCCAAUCCCAAAAACCUCUCUCAGUUCGGACUGGAGUCUGCAACCCGACUCCACGAAGCUGGAUUCGCUAGUAAUCGCGCAUCAGCCACGGCGCGGUGAAUACGUUCCCGGGCCUUGUACACACCGCCC
rnacentral:rRNA from 1 species